UUGAAAGGGAAACGAUUGAAGUCAGUCAUACCAACGGGAAAUCAACCUCUUGAGCUCGGUCUCGUGGGUUUUGAAGAGUUUCAAAGCCUUCGGAUUCGCGGGAUUGGGAUCUCCUGGCGUACUUUUUCGUACGGUUAGUCAACAUCGGUUUUGUAUGUCAUAAAAUGACUGGAGGAAUGUAGCUUCGAUCUCGUAUUGAAGUGUUAUAGCCUUUGGUAGAUGUGAUGUUUGAGACCGAGGAUUGCAACGGAUACCCUUCAGGGCUAUUCGUCUGAUCUCUGAUACGUUGCCUUGAUGUUGAAAGCUCGCUUAUGAUGUUAGGGUAUUACGGUCAAAAGGUUAGAACGAAUUACAUUCGUUAAGGAUGUUGACGUA
rnacentral:rRNA from 1 species